UAUCUCUGUAGAGUCUGCAUAUCAAUAAGCGGAGGAAAAGAAACUAACAAGGAUUCCCUUAGUAACGGCGAGUGAAGCGGGAAGAGCUCAAAUUUGAAAUCUUCAAGGUUUUACCUUGACGAAUUGUAGUUUAAAGAAGUGUUUUCUGUUGAAGUUUCGGUAAAAGUUCUUUGGAAUAGGACAUCAUAGAGGGUGAGAAUCCCGUAUUUGACCGUUAUUUUCAGCUGUGUGAUACACUUUCAAAGAGUCGGAUUGUUUGGGAAUGCAGUCCAAAAUGGGUGGUAAAUUUCAUCUAAAGCUAAAUAUUGGCGAGAGACCAAUAGCGAACAAGUACCGUGAGGGAAAGAUGAAAAGAACUUUGAAAAGAGAGUUAAACAGUACGUGAAAUUGUCAAAAGGGAAGCGUUUGACACCAGUGUUGUUUAGUUGAAAAUCAAUUCAAUAGUUUUUGAUUCUAAGUAGUAUUGACUUCAUCAGCUUGCUGCUUUCUUCUCAGAAAUUAUUGAAUGCACUUUUCAGUUAACAAGUCAACAUCAAUUUCUUUUGUUGUAAAAGGGUAAGAGGAAGGUGGCUUGCGCUUCGGCUCAAGUGUUUAUAGCCUUUUAUCUCUGCAAUCGGAGAGAUUGAGGUCUGCAGCGUAGAUCCUUCGGGGUUAGAUACAUUGGUGCUAAGCUAUAGCCUUGUAUAGACAACUUGUUGACUAUGCUCAGUCAUGUAGCUUACUCGCUGAUGCUGUUUUACCUACGCUUAGGAUGUUGACUGAUAUGUAGUCGU
rnacentral:rRNA from 1 species